rnacentral:rRNA from 1 species
CAGUCGAGGGGCAGCGCGGUAGCAAUACUGGCGGCGACCGGCAAACGGGUGCGGAACACGUACGCAACCUUCCUCUAAGCGGGAGAUAGCCCGGAGAAAUCCGGAUUAAUACCCCAUAGGAUUGUGGAUUGGCAUCAAUCAGCAAUUAAAGAUUUAUCACUUAGAGAUGGGCGUGCGUCUGAUUAGGUAGUUGGUGAGGUAACGGCUCACCAAGCCGACGAUCAGUAACUGGCGUGAGAGCGCGACCAGUCACACGGGCACUGAGACACGGGCCCGACUCCUACGGGAGGCAGCAGUAAGGAAUAUUGGUCAAUGGACGCAAGUCUGAACCAGCCAUGCCGCGUGGAGGAUGAAGGUCCUCUGGAUUGUAAACUUCUUUUAUCUGGGAAGAAAUGCUUUUUUUCUAAAGAGCUUGACGGUACCAGAUGAAUAAGCACCGGCUAACUCCGUGCCAGCAGCCGCGGUAAUACGGAGGGUGCAAGCGUUAUCCGGAUUCACUGGGUUUAAAGGGUGCGUAGGCGGAUUAGAAAGUCCGUUGUGAAAUCUCUGAGCUUAACUCGGAAAUUGCGGUGGAUACUAUUAGUCUUGAAUACUGUGGAGGUUAGCGGAAUAUGUCAUGUAGCGGUGAAAUGCAUAGAUAUGACAUAGAACACCAAUUGCGAAGGCAGCUGGCUACACAGAUAUUGACGCUGAGGCACGAAAGCGUGGGGAUCAAACAGGAUUAGAUACCCUGGUAGUCCACGCCCUAAACGAUGAUUACUCGACAUUUGCGAUACACAGCAAGUGUCUGAGCGAAAGCAUUAAGUAAUCCACCUGGGAAGUACGACCGCGAGGUUGAAACUCCAAAGGAAUUGACGG